rnacentral:rRNA from 1 species
UCAGGAUGAACGCUAGCUACAGGCUUAACACAUGCAAGUCGAGGGGCAGCAUUGGAGUAGCAAUACUCAGAUGGCGACCGGCGCACGGGUGAGUAACACGUAUCCAACCUGCCGCUUACUCGGGGAUAGCCUUUCGAAAGAAAGAUUAAUACCCGAUGGUAUAAAGAGUUCGCAUGUUCUCUUUAUUAAAGAAUUUCGGUAAGCGAUGGGGAUGCGUUCCAUUAGAUAGUUGGCGGGGUAACGGCCCACCAAGUCUACGAUGGAUAGGGGUUCUGAGAGGAAGGUCCCCCACAUUGGAACUGAGACACGGUCCAAACUCCUACGGGAGGCAGCAGUGAGGAAUAUUGGUCAAUGGACGAGAGUCUGAACCAGCCAAAAGUAGCGUGAAGGAUGACUGCCCUAUGGGUUGUAAACUUCUUUUAUAAGGGAAUAAAGUGAGGGACGUGUCCCUUUUUGUAUGUACCUUAUGAAUAAGGAUCGGCUAACUCCGUGCCAGCCGCGGC